rnacentral:rRNA from 1 species
CCUACGGGUGGCAGCAGUGGGGAAUAUUGCACAAUGGGCGAAACCCUGAUGCAGCGACGCCGCGUGAGGGAAGAAGGAUUUCGGUAUGUAAAGCUCUAUCAGCAGGGAAGAAAAUGACAGUACCUGACCAAGAAGCCCCGGCUAACUACGUGCAAGCAGCCGCGGUAAUACGGAGGGGGCAAGCGUUAUCCGGAUUUACUGGGUGUAAAGGGAGCGUAGACGGUUUGGUAAGUCUGGAGUGAAAGCCCGAGGCCCAACCCUGGGACUGCUUUGGAAACUGUGUAACUGGAGUACAGGAGGGGUAGGCGGAAUUCGUGGUGUAGCGGUGAAAUGCGUAGAUAUCAGGAGGAACACCGGUGGCGAAGGCGGCCUGCUGGACUGAAACUGACGUUGAGGCUCGAAAGCGUGGGGAGCAAACAGGAUUAGAUACCCGAGUAGUC